rnacentral:rRNA from 1 species
UACGUAGGUGGCAAGCGUUGUCCGGAUUUACUGGGCGUAAAGCGCGCGCAGGCGGUCGUUCAAGUCGCGUGUGAAAGCCCCCGGCUCAACUGGGGAGGGUCACGCGAUACUGAUCGACUCGAAGGCAGGAGAGGGUAGUGGAAUUCCCGGUGUAGUGGUGAAAUGCGUAGAUAUCGGGAGGAACACCAGUGGCGAAGGCGACUACCUGGCCUGUUCUUGACGCUGAGGCGCGAAAGCUAGGAGAGCAAACGGG